rnacentral:snRNA from 1 species
GGGUGUGAGGCGAUCUGGCUAUGAUAUCUGUUACCCCAUUGAUCUCCAGGGUGGACUCAGCUGAUCUGGCUGCCUAGAUGGGUGUCCCUUUCCCCUCUCACCACUCCAUUGGCAUCUCUUCCAAAGCUGUGGGCUCAGUUGCAGAGGAUGACCUCCCCUGAAUAGAGGAGGACUGGUCUUUGGUUAAGGGUAUACCAGAGUAGCCAUGCUCCCCUGUUAGAACCUCUAAACAAGCUCUCGAGAAAAGUGAUAUCAAGAACAAACUUGAAAAAAUCUAGCUGGGCACAGUGGCGCACACCUAUAAUUUCAACACUCAGGAAGGCAGAGGAAGGAGGGUUGUUGUGAGUU